AACCUUAUGGACCUGCGGGCGUAUACCUGCGGAGGGAUCAUUAACCUUUCAAAAAACAGGGUGCGUCGCGGCCCCCCUCCGGGGGCGGUUUGGGGUCCUCCCCUUCACGCGCGCACGACUGCAUCCUUACUUUACGAGCACCUUCUGUUCUCCCUCGGCGGGGCAACCUGCCGUUGGAACCGAAUAAACCCUUUUUUGCAUCCAGCAUUACCCGUUCCGAAACAAACAAUCGUUACAACU
rnacentral:misc_RNA from 1 species